rnacentral:rRNA from 1 species
UACGUAGGGUGCGAGCGUUGUCCGGAAUUAUUGGGCGUAAAGAGCUUGUAGGCGGUUUGUCGCGUCUGCCGUGAAAAUCCGGGGCUCAACCCCGGACUUGCGGUGGGUACGGGCAGACUAGAGUGCGGUAGGGGAGAAUGGAAUUCCUGGUGUAGCGGUGAAAUGCGCAGAUAUCAGGAAGAACACCCGUGGCUAAGGCGGUUCUCUAGUACGGUACUGACGCUGAGACGCGAAAGCGUGGGGAGCGAACAGG